rnacentral:rRNA from 1 species
AUUGAACGCUGGCGGCAGGCCUAACACAUGCAAGUCGAGCGGAUGAGAGAAGCUUGCUUCUCGAUUCAGCGGCGGACGGGUGCGUAAUGCCUAGGAAUCCGCCUGGUAGUGGGGGACAACGUUUCGAAAGGAACGCUAAUACCGCAUACGCCCUACGGGAGAAAGCAGGGGACCUGCGGGCCCUGCGCUAUCAGAUGAGCCUAGGUCGGAUUAGCUAGUUGGUGAGGUAAUGGCUCACCAAGGCGACGAUCCGUAACUGGUCUGAGAGGAUGAUCAGUCACAAUGGAACUGAGACACGGUCCAGACUCCUACGGGAGGCAGCAGUGGGGAAUAUUGGACAAUGGGCGAAAGCCUGAUCCAGCCAUGCCGCGUGUGUGAAGAAGGUCUUCGGAUUGUAAAGCACUUUAAGUUGGGAGGAAGGGUUGUAGAUUAAUACUCUGCAAUUUUGACGUUGCCGACAGAAUAAGCACCGGCUAACUCUGUGCCAGCCGCCGCCGUAACAC